rnacentral:rRNA from 3 species
AGUGGAGCCUGCGGCUUAAUUUGACUCAACACGGGAAACCUCACCAGGCCCGGACACCGGAAGGAUUGACAGAUUGAGAGCUCUUUCUUGAUUCGGUGGGUGGUGGUGCAUGGCCGUUCUUAGUUGGUGGAGCGAUUUGUCUGGUUAAUUCCGAUAACGAACGAGACUCUAGCCUGCUAACUAGGCGUAUUUCGACAUCCCAAAGGCCCGCCGGUUCGGGGUUUCGGCCUCUUAUCGCGCGCGGUUUUUACUGUCGGCGUACAAACAAUUCUUCUUAGAGGGACAGGCGGCAUUUAGCCGCACGAGAUUGAGCAAUAACAGGUCUGUGAUGCCCUUAGAUGUUCUGGGCCG